CACGUAGGGCGCGAGCGUUGUCCGGAAUUAUUGGGCGUAAAGAGCUCGUAGGCGGCCUGUUGCGUCCGCUGUGAAAGCCCGGGGCUUAACCCCCGGGUCUGCAGUGGAUACGGGCAGGCUAGAGGUAGGUAGGGGAGAACGGAAUUCCCGGUGUAGCGGUGAAAUGCGCAGAUAUCGGGAGGAACACCGGUGGCGAAGGCGGUUCUCUGGGCCUGUACUGACGCUGAGGAGCGAAAGCGUGGGGAGCGAACAGG
rnacentral:rRNA from 1 species